rnacentral:lncRNA from 1 species
AUCAUAUCAGGAAUGGAAAAGCCUUUUAUAUUUCAAGUGUACAACAUACUAAGAUUCAACUCAAUGUCAUACUGCAACACAACAUAGAACUGAUGAUACAUUGAACACACGAAACAUAGGGAUUAAGAAAUAAUUGAAUCCAUAUAUCUCCAGAAAGCUAACAAACCACAUUGAGCAAACAGCAGCUCUUUACUUCUUGGUGUCUUUAGUUCCAGCAUUGCUACCUCCUGCAUCUUUUGCCGCCUUCUUUGCAGCCUUCUCUUGCAGAGCUUUUGCAUCCCUAUAUUCAACAAACAUAUAAAAUAACACUCAACAUCCAAUAAUAAACAGUUAAAUACAUAAAAACCUAAUCUUUGAAAAAAAAAUAUAUGUACCUUUCACGACGCUGCUCAGGAGUCAAACCAUCAUCUUUUCCCUUACUAUUGCCUUUACCACUCCGAGCUUGAGCUCUUUCCCGAUCUUUUUCCCUCUGAUUUCCCCGUUCAAUUCAGUCAUGGUAACACAAAUGUAAAAUUCCAAAAACAAACCAUAAAACUAAAAGCAAAAAGUAAAUCUAACUAAAAUUUAAUGUACCCACAAAAUGCCACACAAAAAAGUUACCAAGAAAACACCAUAAUACUCAAAAAGAGAAAUAGAUCUCAUCCAAUUUGAAGUACCCCGCAAAAUUAAACGCAAAAAAAAGAGGUAAAUCAUGAUCAUGAAAAGGUUAUUGACAAUAAACAAUUAAAUUUUGCUAAUAUACAAAACACAUUUAAACAAAAAGGAAAAGAUAAAUCUAAUUAGAUUUCACAAAAUCUCAUUUAAUUUGAAGUGCCCACAAAAAUACACACAAAAAAGGUACAAUCUUUUUACAAUAUAAAAUAAAAUAAGCAAAAACUAUAGGACAAACAAUAUUUCAAAAAACAAACACCAUAAAACACAACAUUAAACAUAAAUUUCAACAAAUUUCAAAUACCCACAAAACUUAAACACCAAAAGCACCAAACUUUGAGGAAAAACUAACAAAUUUACCAUAAAAACAAUCAGAAAUUGAAACCCAAUUCAAGAAUAUGCCCAAUAUGUAAUAAAUAAUCAUAUAAAAUAAAAAUAUUCAUGACUUUUUAAGGAUAUGAGUCAUUGUAAAGUAGCUGAAUUGUGACGCUUUGAGGAGAAAAUCUGCACCGAAAGAAAGGCGAAGAAAGAGAAAAGGUCAAACGAAUAGAUGAAAUAAAAAGUAGGAGGGGGCGAUUUAUAAUAAUGGAGAAAUUAAGGGGUAAUAUUUCAAUUAGUUGGUUUUGACUUUUUUUUAAUCAGAAUACUUUUCCUAAUGCA